rnacentral:rRNA from 1 species
CCUACGGGAGGCUGCAGUGGGGAAUAUUGGACAAUGGGGGGAACCCUGAUCCAGCCAUGCCGCGUGUGUGUAGAAGGCCCUCGGGUUGUAAAGCACUUUCAGUGAGGAAGAACGCCUGGUGGUUAAUACCCAUCAGGAAAGACAUCACUCACAGAAGAAGCACCGGCUAACUCCGUGCCAGCAGCCGCGGUAAUACGGAGGGUGCGAGCGUUAAUCGGAAUUACUGGGCGUAAAGCGCGCGUAGGUGGCUUGAUAAGCCGGUUGUGAAAGCCCCGGGCUCAACCUGGGAACGGCAUCCGGAACUGUCAAGCUAGAGUGCAGGAGAGGAAGGUAGAAUUCCCGGUGUAGCGGUGAAAUGCGUAGAGAUCGGGAGGAAUACCAGUGGCGAAGGCGGCCUUCUGGACUGACACUGACACUGAGGUGCGAAAGCGUGGGUAGCAAACAGGAUUAGAUACCCCGGUAGUC